rnacentral:lncRNA from 1 species
UUCAAUGUAUUUUUCAGUUUGUCAACUUAAAAGUGAGUUUCCAGCUCUUUAGUUUAAAAACAUAUCUUUCCUAUGAUGUUCUGCUUUUUUAAAAUGUAUGGUGUUAGCCAAAAACAUAUAACUCUGUUAUUCAAGAUUAUAUUUACAUGAAAGCUAUUUUAGAUGUUUUUGAGGGAAACACAUGUAUUAAAAAUCCCUCUGCCAUUUUAUGAAGCAUUUCCUAAAAUAUGAAACAUGUGACCCUAUAAAUUAUAUGUAAUUUUAUUAGAUUCAUUUAUGUAUAGUUUCAUAUGCAUAUAUAUAUAAAUAUAUAUAUGGGUACACACGCACAUUCACUACACAUAUAAGUAUACAAAUAUAUUUGUAGAAUAUCCAAUUAGUCCAGGAAGGGUUUUAUCUUUUUUUUACUGAAUAUUGGGAAAUUGGCAAGAAUCUUUCACCCAUUAAUUAUAUUGUAUACAGAUAAUUCUACAUAUAGUAGUUGUAUAACAGUAACAUAUCUUACUAUUAAUAUCUUAUUUAUAUAUACUAUUAAUACUAAAAUUAAUCCUUGAAUUUAUUAUAAUUUCCUUUUAUUAUUAUUAUUUGGGGGGAUUCCACAAUGUUUCUUAUCUAGAAUCUCUGUUUACCAAAAAAGUUUCCUAGGAGUCAUAAUCAAACACAACUAGUGGGCACACACUGUGUUUUGCAGUCUUUUCAGUGCUUUAUAUGAAUGAUCUUUUUGUCCUCCCCGUCAUGGUAGAAGAAAAACACAAUUAUAACCACCUUGUACAUAAGAACCCUAAGCACUGAGAGGUUAAUUAAGCGGAUGUUUAAAGAGCCUCAGCAAGUGGGAGCCAGAAUUUGAACCUAGGCGACCCAUUUGCUUAAAGUGAUGUUCACAGAUUAUAUAUAUAACAUCAGUGUGUGAACCUCUCAGAAACCCAAAGGGUAUUGCAUAAUCAUUUACAAUUUGUUUCCAUAUCCAAAGAUUGUGUUCCAGGUCCUGACUGACAGCGUAUCUGCUGAGUCCUUUCUGGAGAUGGGAGGAGAUCAACUAAGUGAUUUGCAUCUGAAGGCUCAUUCUUUUCAUCUCUGACACAGAGACUAUUUUCUUAAUCUGGUUUAUUUGCAGGGUUUGAAAUUAGACUACGUAAAACAUUUGAUAUACUUUCAGGCUUUAGAUAAUUAUGAGAUAUCAUUGAGUAAUAAGAAUAAAUUAAAAAACAAUGAUAAUAAUUUCCCUUGGAUAUGAAAUCUUCUGCCCUUGCUAAUUAGCUUAAUAUCCCUGCUGUUUUCUUUUUAAAUAUAUUAUUUCUAAAAUUUAGGAAAAUAAAUGUGAAAAUUGAAAACUGAAACAACUUUGUAUGCAAUGAUUACUAACUAUAAAAAUUCAAAAUAUGAAAAAAUAAUAUUAUAUGCUUGGCUAAAAGUCAAAGCGAUUUCAUUCUCUUUGUUGGGCCCUAAUAAAUAAUGGAACAUAUUUGUAAGUAAUACCUGAGAUGUUCAAAAUUGUCAGAGGCAAAUCUAUUUUUUAAAAUAAAAGUUUUCUAACAAAGCUCAAAUUUUUCUAAUACUGGUGAAACUAAAAUAGGGCUCACAUAGCAAUUCGUUUGGUUUCUUGACUUUCUUCUAAUAAAGGUAUUCUUGAAUUCACUAAAAAAAAAGCAUUGUCACCUUAAACAAGCUCUUAAGAUGUGCUGUGCCUACCACUUGCUAUAGAAGAUGUGACUUUCCUUUCUACCCUCUUUUACACUCAAAAUGAUUGUCACUGUUGACUUCAAAUCAUUACAUUUUUUCAUGCAGACUGAAAAAUGAGUUUUAGUUUCUAAAUACUAAGUGGCAAGAAUGAAAUAUUUGUGGUACAUGAUAGAAUGUUUGUAAUGAUAGAACUAUAUAUAAAGUAUAAAAAACAUAUGCAUUCAUCUCAUCUAAUUUAUAACAACUGAGACAAAUGAUCUCAGGUAGGGAAUAAUCAACUUCAAGUUAUUAUGUUCUGUGAGUGACAAUUAAGUCCAUUUUUUUCUGCUACAUUAAAAAUAUAUAUAUAUAUAUAUAUAUCAUACGGAGGAGUUCCCGUCAUGGCUCAGUGGUUAAUGAAUCCGACUAGGAACCGUGAGGUUGCAGGUUCGAUCCCUGGCCUCCCUCAGUGGGUUAAGGAUCUGGCAUUGCCAUGAUCUGUGGUGUAGGUCGCAGACACGGCUUUGAUCUGACAUUUCUGUAGCUCUGGACUAGGCUGGUGGCUAUAGCUCCGAUUAGACCCCUUGCCUGGGAACCUCCACAUGCUGCAGGUGUGGCCCUAAAAAGACGAAAGACAAAAAAAUAAAAUUAUAUGGAAAAAGGCCAAGUGUUUCAGACUCUUGCUGAGGUAUGGAUAUUCAAGGAUACAGAUGCAUGCUAUGUGCUAGAUAUUAUACACUAGAUGUGUAGAUUAAUAUAUCAUUUUAUUUCUAAACUUAUCUCCCCCCAAUUGAAGUAACAUGUGUGUCUAAACCAAGUCCAGGAGUAUAAACUGAGCAAAAUUACUGGAAAUCACUUGACUUUCUGUUAAAUUGUCUUGAGAAAUGAGAAAUCCUUUGUAUGACAAAUGGGAGUAAAUUUUUAAGAUCAUCAUUUUCUUAUUCCCUUUGUUAAUCAGGAAGAAUAAAUAUCCCUUAUGCAAGGCAUUGUGGUAACUGAAUAGAAAGUAUGGUGAAAGCAAGAUGAACUUAAAACUUAGAGUAGAUUCAGAGUAUAUUGACAGCUUAAAAGGAAAAAUAGGACAAGCAUAAAAAUAAUCUGAAAGUUGCAGCUGAUCAUCACCACCUGUCAACUUAUUCAUCUUCGCUGACAUCUAUAAAGUCAUAUAUCCGUAAUUAAAAUACUAAGCAGUAGAUGAAACUAUGAUAUGAAUUGGAGUCACCUACAGAACUUUAAAAAAAAAAACCUAAUGCUUGUGUACCAUCUCUAAAAAUUCUAAUUUAGUUCCUGUGGUGUAUCAUUUUAAAUAUGAAAUUUAUAAUACCUCUAAGCAAUUAUAAUUUGUAGCACUAAGGGAACCCUUGACAUACAUGUGCAAUAUGGAAAAACAUUAUUUUACAACCUUGUACUAAUACCGGCUUUAUAAUAAUUUAUAAAUCAUAAUAUAUAUCAGGUAGAUACAUUUUAAGAUCUAAGAUUCAAUGUCAAAGCUGCAAAAGGCCAAAACCUAUAAUUUUUCUUGUGCCUUUAUGUAUACUUCUUUUCCCACUUCUUAAGACAUCCAAAUGAUCAAUCUGAAAUCUCAAGACUGUUUACCUUAAGUAAAUGAAAAAUCCUUCAAGUAUGAAUUCUUCCUAUAUCACAUACAACAUUCUAUCUUUUGUUUUAACCAUUUGUACCUUUGUAUAAUUUCCUAUUAUAAAAGACUUAAGGACAGAAAGGAUUUUCAUUGUUUUGGUGCUGAUGUUUUGUUCUUUCAUGGUUUCAUAUCUUUAGUAUCUAGUGAUUACAUUACUUGCAGUAGAUUCUGAAAAUUUGUUGAAUUAAUCUUAGUAAAAUCUCUGAAAUCCUUGUCAUUUAAGUUCCUGUACAUUGUUAUAUGUGCUAUGUCUCAGUCAUAUUAUAGUUAUUUGAGGACAUUGUAGCCAGUUACUGACUGUGAGUUCCAUGAAAGUAAACAAUAUCCCUUAAUAUAUUAUAAGAAUUCUCCCCUAUGGCUGGCAUAUAUCUGCAGCAAAUAGAAAUGGUUUAUAUGUAGAAGUAGUUUACAGUGGGGUAGCAUUCUAAGCAUUUAUUAGAGCAUCACCAGCUAUUAGCAUAAUCAGUUUUGAAGACACCAAUUAGAAUGGCAGAGAGUAAGUUAACUUUAAUUUCAAGAUAUAUUUUUAAACUGCAUUAUUUAAAAACAUUAUCAUCCAAUUAAUGCCCUUAUAAAGUAUCAUAAAUAAUAUUUAGUUAAAUCACAAAUAAAUAUUAGAUUACAUACUGAAAAUUUUAUGUUCUUAUACUAAUCAUUACUGAACGAUGAGUAAUGAUGGAGUCACAGGUUUUUAUUUGAAAAUUCUAUUUAAGCAAGACAAAUUUACACUGAGAGUAUAUAAAAGUGAAUAUUUAUAUACAAUGAAAUAAAAAGGAAAAUGCCCAGUAAACUGAAAUAAUAUGCUCAUGAAAAAACUUAAGAACAAUCUAUCAAAUAAUCAUUUCUUAUAGUUUGAAGUCUUUAGUUAUUCAUGUUGAAUUUAUUUCAUUUCAUAGUCUAAUGAGAAAACCUUUGCCUUUCUUGCUGCUGUCUGCUUAUUUCAACCUCAAUAAGUUUUCUGUUUAAACACACUAUGAAUUGAUAAACACUCUCUUUUCUGAUCAUGCUGAACACACUGAGUCAUCAAAAUGAAUACUUUUGUUUCAGGAUGAGACUCACAAAGCAUAUGCCUCUGUGCAUCUUGAAAAUAGAGUUUUCAGUUUUGCUGAAUUGUGUAACAUUUUGUUUAAUAGUAUACUCUUAAAACACAAAAUCCUUAUUCUUAUCCUACAACUAUUUUCCUUCUUUAUCAUCCUUACACCUUAGGCGGUAAAAUAGAAAUGUGUGUGUUGAUAUUAAAAAUACAGAAAGGUGGGAGCUCCCAUCGUGGCACAGUGGUUAAUGAAUCCGACUAGGAACCAUGAGGUUGCGGGUUCAAUCCCUGGCCUUGCUCAGUGGGCUAAGGAUUCGGUGUUGCCUUGAGCUGUGGUGUAGGUCGCAGACGCGGCUCAGAUCCCGCGAUGCUGUGGCUCUGAAGUAGGCUGGCAGCUCCAGCUCUGAUUAGACCCCUAGCCUGGGAACCUCUCAUAUGCCAUGGGAGCGGCCCAAGAAAUG